rnacentral:tRNA from 1 species
GGAGAGAUGGCUGAGUGGUUGAAAGCACCGGUCUUGAAAACCGACGUACUUUAAUAGAGUACCCAGGGUUCGAAUCCCUGUCUCUCCGCCA